rnacentral:rRNA from 1 species
UACGGAGGGGGCCAGCGUUGUUCGGAAUCAUUGGGCGUAAAGGGCGCGUAGGCGGCUUUGUAAGUCCGUUGUGAAAUCCCUCGGCUCAACCGAGGAACUGCGACGGAUACUGCUUGGCUUGAGUCCCGGAGAGGGUAGCGGAAUUCCCAGUGUAGCGGUGAAAUGCGUAGAUAUUGGGAGGAACAUCGGUGGCGAAGGCGGCUACCUGGACGGGUACUGACGCUGAUGCGCGAAAGCUGGGGGAGCAAACAGG